AACGCUAGCUACAGGCUUAACACAUGCAAGUCGAGGGGCAGCAUGGUCUUAGCUUGCUAAGGCCGAUGGCGACCGGCGCACGGGUGAGUAACGCGUAUCCAACCUGCCUUACACUCUUGGACAGCCUUCUGAAAGGGAGAUUAAUACAAGAUGUUAUCAUGAGUAAGCAUUUUCGCAUGAUUAAAGGUUUACCGGUGUAAGAUGGGGAUGCGUUCCAUUAGAUAGUAGGCGGGGUAACGGCCCACCUAGUCUUCGAUGGAUAGGGGUUCUGAGAGGAAGGUCCCCCACAUUGGAACUGAGACACGGUCCAAACUCCUACGGGAGGCAGCAGUGAGGAAUAUUGGUCAAUGGACGAGAGUCUGAACCAGCCAAGUAGCGUGAAGGAUGAAGGUUCUAUGGAUUGUAAACUUCUUUUAUACGGGAAUAAACGGAUCCACGUGUGGAUUUUUGCAUGUACCGUAUGAAUAAGGAUCGGCUAACUCCGUGCCAGCAGCCGCGGUAAUACGGAGGAUCCGAGCGUUAUCCGGAUUUAUUGGGUUUAAAGGGAGCGUAGAUGGGUUGUUAAGUCAGUUGUGAAAGUUUGCGGCUCAACCGUAAAAUUGCAAUUGAUACUGGCAGUCUUGAGUACAGUUGAGGUAGGCGGAAUUCGUGGUGUAGCGGUGAAAUGCUUAGAUAUCACGAAGAACUCCGAUUGCGAAGGCAGCUUACUAACCUGUAACUGACAUUGAUGCUCGAAAGUGUGGGUAUCAAACAGGAUUAGAUACCCUGGUAGUCCACACGGUAAACGAUGAAUACUCGCUGUAGGCGAUAUACAGUCUGCGGCCAAGCGAAAGCAUUAAGUAUUCCACCUGGGGAGUACGCCGGCAACGGUGAAACUCAAAGGAAUUGACGGGGGCCCGCACAAGCGGAGGAACAUGUGGUUUAAUUCGAUGAUACGCGAGGAACCUUACCCGGGCUUAAAUUGCAACCGAAUAUGGCGGAAACGCUAUAGCUAGCAAUAGCGGUUGUGAAGGUGCUGCAUGGUUGUCGUCAGCUCGUGCCGUGAGGUGUCGGCUUAAGUGCCAUAACGAGCGCAACCCUUGCCGAUAGUUACUAACAGGUCAUGCUGAGGACUCUGUCGGGACUGCCAUCGUAAGAUGUGAGGAAGGUGGGGAUGACGUCAAAUCAGCACGGCCCUUACGUCCGGGGCUACACACGUGUUACAAUGGGGGGUACAGAGGGCUGCUACCACGCAAGUGGAUGCCAAUCCCAAAAACCUCUCUCAGUUCGGAUUGAAGUCUGCAACCCGACUUCAUGAAGCUGGAUUCGCUAGUAAUCGCGCAUCAGCCACGGCGCGGUGAAUACGUUCCCGGGCCUUGUACACACCGCCCGUCAAGCCAUGGGAGCCGGGGGUACCUGAAGUGCGUAACCGCAAGGAGCGCCCUAGGGUAAAACUGGUGACUGGGGCU
rnacentral:rRNA from 1 species